UACUAUACAAUUAAAAAAAAAAAUUCAGACCCGCGAGACCCGCCAGAAUCGCCAGAACCGGAACCGCAUGGUACCUGGAACUGUCACGGGCCGGUUUCACCAUGAGAACCGACAGAAUCGGAAUCGCCAGAUCCGAAACCGUCAGAAUCGGAACGCUAGACCCAAAUAAAUUCAGAACCGAAACACAAUACAACCUUAAUGUGGAAGGAUAGUAGACAUUUCCGACAUCUAGUAAAUGCAUUGCGUCUAUAAAAGAACUGACAGCCAGCUAGAGUUCGUCAUUCUCUCUUCUG
rnacentral:lncRNA from 1 species